rnacentral:rRNA from 1 species
UACGUAGGUGGCAAGCGUUAUCCGGAAUUAUUGGGCGUAAAGAGCGCGCAGGUGGUUGAUUAAGUCUGAUGUGAAAGCCAACGGCUUAACCGUGGAGGGUCAUUGGAAACUGGUCGACUUGAGUGCAGAAGAGGGAAGUGGAAUUCCAUGUGUAGCGGUGAAAUGCGUAGAGAUAUGGAGGAACACCAGUGGCGAAGGCGGCUUCCUGGUCUGUAACUGACACUGAGGCGCGAAAGCGUGGGGAGCAAACAGGAUUAGAUACCCU